rnacentral:tRNA from 2 species
AUGCUGAUAGUAUUAAAAUGUACAAUUGCCUUCCAAGCAGAAAGACCAAACAUGGUCAGCAUA